rnacentral:rRNA from 1 species
GUUGACCUCGGAUCAGGUAGGAAUACCCGCUGAACUUAAGCAUAUCAAUAAGCGGAGGAAAAGAAACCAACAGGGAUUGCCCCAGUAACGGCGAGUGAAGCGGCAACAGCUCAAAUUUGAAAUCUGGCCCCAGGCCCGAGUUGUAAUUUGCAGAGGAUGCUUUUGGCGCGGUGCCUUCCGAGUUCCCUGGAACGGGACGCCAUAGAGGGUGAGAGCCCCGUACGGUUGGACACCAAGCCUUUGUAAAGCUCCUUCGACGAGUCGAGUAGUUUGGGAAUGCUGCUCAAAAUGGGAGGUAUAUUUCUUCUAAAGCUAAAUAUUGGCCAGAGACCGAUAGCGCACAAGUAGAGUGAUCGAAAGAUGAAAAGCACUUUGAAAAGAGGGUUAAACAGCACGUGAAAUUGUUAAAAGGGAAGCGCUUGUGACCAGACUUGCGCCCGGUGAAUCACCCAGCUCUCGCGGCUGGGGCACUUUGCCGGCACAGGCCAGCAUCAGCUCGCCGUCGGGGACAAAAGCUUCGGGAACGUAGCUCCUUUCGGGGAGUGUUAUAGCCCGUUGCAUAAUACCCUUCGGCGGGCUGAGGUACGCGCUCCGCAAGGAUGCUGGCGUAAUGGUCAUCAGCGAC